rnacentral:lncRNA from 1 species
UCCGCCAGCCCGUGCCACCGCUGCUAAUGAGAGCGGUCAUUAAGUAAAUGAGACGUCGCCUUUAGCUGGCUUAGGAGUUCGCACACUAAAGGGAGAAGAUAUUUAAUUGAAACCCCGCACACAGGCUUCCCCACAUGUGACCGCUGGAAGGGAGGCAGCUGCCUUGCCUCUCCUCCCCCGUCCACCCGCACCCCCCAUGUAAAUUUCAUGAUUGCUUUCCGUGAUGUCAUUUUGAAAGAGGACAGACAAUAGCUGUGGGAAAGGUAAGUCCACGUUACGUUCUUUCGCUGACAAAGGCAGACGCCCGGCGCUUGGCUUCUCCCCUUGGCCGGGGGCAGGGAGCGGGUGCGCGAGCGAGUUAAUUUCCAAGAUGAAGGCUUUCUUUGCUGGAAAAGCAGGUUUGGGGGUGGCUCUUUAAAGCCGCUCCGAGGACCGAGGCUUUCUUCUCCUCCGGGGCUCUCCGUGGCCGCUCUCCUGCGCUGGCUCUGCCCCUCCCUGGCUGCGCCCGUGCCUGGCCUCCUCCGAGUCUAGCGGGCACACUGUGCGGCCGACAGAAAAGACACGGGGGACCUUGUGUCAAGACGGAAACUUUAUGUGCGUUUCUGGAAGAGGAGCACGGAUCUUCUGCAGCGGGGCCCCGGCAGCUGUGUGCGGGGAGAAGGCUGGCUUCUUAGGCAGGAGACCUCUCUGGAGCAGAACGCGGCCGGGACCUGUGUGCGACCCCCACCCGGGACGGAGGAGAGAUGCCAUAAAAUGAGUUCCGGGGUGAGCUGCUGAGCCAGAGGUGGACACACGGAGACAAGGCCACCAGCUGCAGGACCUCGAGGCUCUUGCUGGGCGGACACGGCAAGGUGAGGCGCUGGGAGGGCAGCCCCCGCCCUGGGGCCCUGGGUGCAGGCAGGGGUCCAUCUCAUGCCUAGACUUUGGGUCUCGUCAUUCUCGACCUGGAUUGGGCAAAGAGUAAGUGGAGGCCAGGCCCAUUAAAGAUCUGGUCACUUUGAAACUCAAGGAGGAGAAGUCAC